rnacentral:rRNA from 1 species
GUUGGGUUAAGUCCCGCAACGAGCGCAACCCUCAUCCUUAGUUGCCAUCAGGUAAUGCUGAGUACUUUAAGGAAACUGCCAGUGAUAAGCUGGAGGAAGGUGGGGAUGAUGUCAAGUCAUCAUGGCCUUUAUGGAGUGGGCUACACACGUGCUACAAUGGUGUCUACAAUGGGCUGCAAGGUGCGCAAGCCUAAGCUAAUCCCUAAAAGACAUCUCAGUUCGGAUUGUACUCUGCAACUCGAGUACAUGAAGUUGGAAUCGCUAGUAAUCGUGGAUCAGCAU